rnacentral:rRNA from 1 species
GACGAACGCUAGCGGCGUGCCUAAUACAUGCAAGUAGAACGCACAGUUUAUACCGUAGCUUGCUACACCAUAGACUGUGAGUUGCGAACGGGUGAGUAACGCGUAGGUAACCUGCCUGGUAGCGGGGGAUAACUAUUGGAAACGAUAGCUAAUACCGCAUAAUAUUAAUUAUUGCAUGAUAAUUAAUUGAAAGGUGCAAUUGCACCACUGCCAGAUGGACCUGCGUUGUAUUAGCUAGUAGGUGAGGUAACGGCUCACCUAGGCGACGAUACAUAGCCGACCUGAGAGGGUGAUCGGCCACACUGGGACUGAGACACGGCCCAGACUCCUACGGGAGGCAGCAGUAGGGAAUCUUCGGCAAUGGACGAAAGUCUGACCGAGCAACGCCGCGUGAGUGAAGAAGGUUUUCGGAUCGUAAAGCUCUGUUGUAAGAGAAGAACGGGUGUGAGAGUGGAAAGUUCACACUGUGACGGUAUCUUACCAGAAAGGGACGGCUAACUACGUG